rnacentral:rRNA from 1 species
UACGGAAGGGGCUAGCGUUGUUCGGAAUCACUGGGCGUAAAGCGCGCGUAGGCGGCUUGGCAAGUGAGGCGUGAAAGUCCUGGGCUCAACCCGGGGACGGCGCUUCAGACUGCGGGGCUAGAGUCCGGAAGAGGGUGGUGGAAUUCCGAGUGUAGAGGUGAAAUUCGUAGAUAUUCGGAGGAACACCGGCGGCGAAGGCGACCCCCUGGUUGGAUACUGACGCUGAUACGCGAAAGCGUGGGGAGCAAACAGG